rnacentral:tRNA from 1 species
GACGGUGUAGCUCAGUGGUAGAGUGUGUGCUUAGCAUGCAUGAGGUCCUGGGUUCGAUUCCCAGUACCUCCA